rnacentral:lncRNA from 1 species
AUAAAAUAUUUUAACUUUUUUAUUGAAAGAAAUUUAAUGGUUAUAUAUUUUUAUAUAAAAGAAUUAGAUUUGUAGGUAAUGAAUUAUUAGAACUUUUUAUGUUUUCUAAAAUCCACACAAAAACGUUUACAAAAUAUUUUCAUGAAAAAACAUCUUAUCAUUGUAUUGGUCCUACACAAAAAGAUUAUUCUCUUUUUUAUUUUUUUAAAGCUAGUGUAUUCCCGAUUUUUUCACCUGUUAAAAUAAAAUAUAAAGUAAUUGCAAAACUAAUUAUCCGAAUUAAUUGUAAUAUUAAUUUUCUGUAAGAGAAAUAUUUGUAAUGACUAAAGUUUACAUUGUUGAGCUAUUUUAAAUCUCA